CAAAAGAUAGUUAACAAAAAAACAUUGGCUUUGGAUUCCAAUGAUAGGUCAAGGACCUUCUUUUGA
rnacentral:tRNA from 1 species